AUCAUUUAUUUUUUUAAUUCUCCUGACCAGAAAGAGGAGGGCUUCCAGGGACUCGUCUGGACCAGACAACAGGGAACAGAGUGAGCCAGAGGAGCAGGUUGACCUUCAGUACGCCACCAUCCACGUCUCCAACAGCCAGGCAGAUCCUCUGUACUCCAACAUCAGAGCUGCUCAGCCCCUCAGACACAGGGAGCAACAGGAAGCUGUUGAGUACGCUGCUGUCAGGUUCAACAGAGGCAGUACUGCCCCGAGAACCAGAGGUCGGGACACUGGAGAGGAUCCAGCUGCUUUGUACAGCACAGUCAACAACACCCGAUGAACACAACAGGCAUUUCAUUUAUAGUCUGAUAUUUCAAUCUUUUUUCCCAAAACAAUUAUUUAAAUUAAUCAGGUAACCAUUGAGUUUUAUAUAUUGUAUUUUCAGGAUGGCCCUCUCCAAGAAUGUACAAAGAGACAAUUAUAAAUCUUAUAGAAACUUAAAUGUAUUACUUAAACAUAAACCAGUGUUCAGUUAUUUUACUCUGUAUGAGUCAGCUCUAAAGAAUGAGUUAAGUAUUUCAUGAUUUAUUUCGUUAAAUUGUAUAUAUGCUAUGAAAGGACAAUAUUCAGUGACCUUUUAUGUGCUGUUUGAAUUAGUCUCUAACUGGUCUUCCUCCCAAACGUCCCCGUUCAGACGCUAAAACAUACCUGAAGUAGUUGUUAAUGCAACAAGGGAUGUGAUCCCCAACUGGCUUCCCACCUGCAAACACUGGAAGUUGUUUUUGUUGGAAAGCACGGUCAAGCCAACAAUGGCAAUGUUUUCGUAUAUCUUUUUUUGAUUUAUUUUUUUAUGGAUAUAUUUGAUGGUGACGGUAGAGACAAAGUCAGAAAAUGUGAGGAGAAAGUUAUAACGUGCAACAAAGGUUGCUGGCUGGAAUAAUACCUUUGACGUUGCGAUUAACUGAUUGGCGUCUUAAUCAUUAAGCCUUUAAACAUUUUCUGACAUGCAAAUUAGCACCAAAAACAAAUGACAGCAGAGGUCAAUCAUAAAGAGAAGACUUGGGUAGAAGUGUUCAAUCUUUAACAACGACUCUUCAAACUCAACUGACUAUAUUGCAUCACCGUUGUCAGUGGCUUCAAAUCUUUUUGUAAUCAUUGGUGUGUUUUUAUGAAAGGCUUUUAAAUGUAAAGACACCAACUUCCUUUUAAACCAGUGUGCAUGAUGGGAUCACAGAGAAGCAGUGAAGACCUCAAAGUUUAAACUGUAAGUAAGUACAAUUUAUUUAUAUAUUUUGUGCUUUUCACAGACAGGGUCACAAAGU